CCCCAGUGUAGGAUUGAAGGUGUCAUGCA
rnacentral:piRNA from 1 species